AAUCAGUUUGUACAUUCAAUUUGGAAGAAAACAACGAAAUUCACUGGCGAUAGAAAAUUUGCCUCAAAUACGUUAUCAUUAUUCUUGGUGUUGAUAAAAUUAAAGCUGUCAACAGGUCAUACACGUGCAAAUUGUGUUCAGACUAUAGACUUUAUCCUACUUGAUGCAGCUGGAUAUGACAGAGUAAAUUAAAAUGUGGAUGAAUGUUUGUGUGCAAACACGGCUGAAAAAACAAUAUAAAAACGAAUUAACCGCAGUCGCGAUCGGACGUUCGAUUACAACACAUGUUCUCCGCAUUAAAGAGACCGUGAUUUUUAUUUUCAGUUUUUACAAUCACAAAUGCGUAAUUCAUUUCCUAUUAUAAAUGAGUAAUUAAUGUCAUACAUUUUUGUUAACUUGAUUUAGAUCUCGGUGUGAUUAAAUUGUGAGUUUUUUUUGUAUUAUUACACUAUGGAAAAUAAUGAAUUUAAAUGGCGCAAUGAGCACCAGUAUUAUGCAGCUGUAGCAGGCAAUCUGAUAAUGCUUGGACAUGGAUGCGUUACCGGUUGGUUUAGUCCAGCAUUGCCAAAGCUUUUAUCUGAAAAUACGCCGCUUGUUCAUUCGGGACCAUUGAGCAGUGAACAGGUAU